UACCGAUAAAGGCAGACUGCUCGAAAGAGCAGGACGCAAAGCCUAGGUCUAAACCUGCGAAGACAGGCAAGGUAGCAAGGCUGCCGAA
rnacentral:ncRNA from 1 species